rnacentral:siRNA from 1 species
GCUCCAGAGGUAAGUUUCGGGUUG